UACAGAGGUCUCAAGCGUUGUUCGGAUUCAUUGGGCGUAAAGGGUGCGUAGGCGGCGCGGCAAGUCGGGUGUGAAAUCUCGGGGCUUAACUCCGAAACUGCAUUCGAUACUGCCGUGCUUGAGGACUGGAGAGGAGACUGGAAUUCAUGGUGUAGCAGUGAAAUGCGUAGAGAUCAUGAGGAAGACCAGUGGCGAAGGCGGGUCUCUGGACAGUUCCUGACACUGAGACACGAAGGCUAGGGGAGCAAACGGG
rnacentral:rRNA from 1 species